AUCUGACCGCUGAAUCCUGAACCCACUUGCAUUCUAAACGGGUGGAUAGACAUAAACAAAGCCAGGAGGAAACCUGUUAAACAGAGACAAUAUGCAAUUCUUUCUCUCUGUGGACAGACGGAAUGGGCUCUGUCUGUAGGAGGAGAUGCCCUCAGCCCUCUGCUGACUCAUUUGCAUUGUGAUGCUCCCUGGGCAAAGCUGCAUCUUCUGUCUCAGAGAACCAGCACCAGUAGAAGAGACAGAUGGGAGCUCAUCGGCUGCAUCUAUGGAUUAAUUAGGACUGUACGUUGGACCCCAUUCAAAUGGAAGGCUGCCGAAAUGUCACAACAAUAUUGGGCAGCUAAUUCGAUAAAUGGUUUACACGGUACACCAAGCAUGCUAAUGUGGAUGUGAACGGCCAACUUGUCCUAUCCCUGUCCAUUUAUGCCUGGAAUGGUUUAAUUUAGGAUCAGAAUAAGAGAAAAAGAAACCUAAAGAAUCACAAAGCCCUGGGCUUUACAAGAACAAUAAAUUCAAAGUUGCAAUAUAGCUUUUACAGCCGAUUGAAAAAUUGUACAUGCAACCAAGUUUGUCCUCUGUUGGUGGAAUAGUUCCAAGUGUGCAAGGACUCAAAUAAUGAACCUCUGGAUAUGGACUUACAGACAAAUGAUCACAGAAGACUCAAAAAUAAGAACUCAGGAUUGACGAAAAGGUAGUUUGAAAGGACUGACAAUGUGCGUUGAUACCAAAUAAAUAUCUGUAAAUGUUUUACUUCGAUUACACAAUAAACAGAAGUUGUCUUUGGUAUAGGUUUUCUGUAUUAUUAAAAAAUAAAAUCCAAAACAAGUAAAGAAGACAAAAACAAUUUUUAAAAGAAGUUUAUAACCCCAGAUCACAAUAAUGCGGCAAAUCUGUUGCUUAACUUUUUAUAUUCCAUAAAGAACAGUCAAAUUCUUAUUUUCCUCGUGACUUAGAUAAGUGGAAUUGUAUGGGUUCAAGAAAGGCUUUGAAAGAUCUAUUCCCUUCUGAUAGAAUUGAACAAAUCACGUAGAUUUUCCAUCUCACUGUAGACUAUAAAGGCGAAGAAAAGCCAGUCUGUAUAGUAACUAGGGAGAAAGGGCUCUUAAAAUCUAGAGGAACAGACCAAAUGGUGGUUUAUG
rnacentral:lncRNA from 1 species